AUUGAACGCUGGUGACAGGCCUAACACAUGCAAGUCGAGCGGAUGAAGGGAGCUUGCUCCUGGAUUCAGCGGCGGACGGGUGAGUAAUGCCUAGGAAUCUGCCUGGUAGUGGGGGAUAACGUCCGGAAACGGGCGCUAAUACCGCAUACGUCCUGAGGGAGAAAGUGGGGGAUCUUCGGACCUCACGCUAUCAGAUGAGCCUAGGUCGGAUUAGCUAGUUGGUGGGGUAAAGGCCUACCAAGGCGACGAUCCGUAACUGGUCUGAGAGGAUGAUCAGUCACACUGGAACUGAGACACGGUCCAGACUCCUACGGGAGGCAGCAGUGGGGAAUAUUGGACAAUGGGCGAAAGCCUGAUCCAGCCAUGCCGCGUGUGUGAAGAAGGUCUUCGGAUUGUAAAGCACUUUAAGUUGGGAGGAAGGGCAGUAAGUUAAUACCUUGCUGUUUUGACGUUACCAACAGAAUAAGCACCGGCUAACUUCGUG
rnacentral:rRNA from 1 species